rnacentral:rRNA from 1 species
UACGUAGGGUGCAAGCGUUGUCCGGAAUUAUUGGGCGUAAAGAGCUUGUAGGCGGUUUGUCGCGUCUGCUGUGAAAUUUCGGGGCUCAACCCCGAACUUGCAGUGGGUACGGGCAGACUAGAGUGUGGUAGGGGAGACUGGAAUUCCUGGUGUAGCGGUGAAAUGCGCAGAUAUCGGGAAGAACACCCGUGGCUAAGGCGGCUCUCUAGUACGGUACUGACGCUGAGACGCGAAAGCGUGGGGAGCGAACAGG